rnacentral:lncRNA from 1 species
CAAUUCUCCUGCCUCAACCUCCUGCGUAGCUGGGAUUACAGGCCUGCCCAUGGCUGCUCAUGGAACAAUCGGCUAGCGUUUCCUCCCCUCUGAGAUCCAUAAAAGCCGGCAGCUCAGCCAGAGCAGGGCAGAGGGCAGAGGACAGAGAGAUGAUGGGAUGACCCGCUGCAGAGAGGAGCUACCCUCCUGCUGAGAGCUUCAGAGACCUGCAGAGACUUCCAAAUGAUCUGCCUGCAGAGAUGAGCCACGCUUUCCAGGGCUUUCUCUCUGCUGAGAGCUGAGUACUUGAGGAGAGGGCCUGCCUAGGAGCCGACCUGACUACAGAGAGGAGCUGCCCACUGUGGGUCUCUUCUGUUCUAACACUAAAUAAAGCUCCUCUUUAUCUUCUUCACCCUUCACCUGUCUGCAUACUUUAUUCUUUAUUCUUCCUGGACGCAGGACAAGAACUCAGGGCAAAGGUGCCACUGGCCACAGAGGUUUUCAGGAAGAAAAUUGACACCCCAAAGAUUGCCACCGGCUACAGAGGCUUCCAGAAAGAAAAUUGACACCUCAAAGAUCCCGUAACAGUUCCUCUCUAGGUUAUAGGACAGCUGCCAAUUACAAUAAGGCCUGCUCACUUUCUUCUUUACAUUCAGCAGAGAGAAAUUGCCUCUCCCUAAGCCAUCAGACAGUCUAUCUUCAGUCUUUUGGGGUCAGUUUGCGAUGCUACCCAAACAAUGUAGGGCUGGUUCCUUGAAGCAAUCACUGAUUGGCUUGCUGGCCAGGGCCCAUCUACUGAGUUCAGGUCAGUUCCUCAAAGCUCACUGCUGCAACAUGAUGGAAAGUGGGGGUGAAUGUUGAGGAAUCAACUACUCUAUCCACUACAAAAGAUUUCCUCAGAAAACGCUCAUGUUUUUACUAAACUGACGCUUGACUGUACAUUUAUUUUGAAGUUUGCUAAGAUGAAAGGAAUUUUAGUAUUUCUUACAGUUAGUGUCUAAGGUAGAUCUCUGGAAAGGUUACGUGCCAUCUUGAAUUGCAGUUAGAUUUCAGACAAUUCAUGAAAUAUCAAUAUUCAAAUAUAAAUAGGAAGUAUAAACUGAUUUUUAACCUAAUUUUUAAAAAGUCAGUUAUUAGAUAAAAUAAUGUUAAAGUAAAAAUUGUAGCUAAGCAUUAAAGGCAAUAAAUAUGUCCAAAGACAUACAUAGAGAGAUUCUUUCAAUUGGAGGAAGACCACUCCCCUAAUAAUCUAAGGUUGCCUUACAUGACAGCUACAGUGCAUAAACACUCAAACAUAAUUUUAUUCUUGAGCUGCAGAAAAUUUAAACAUUUGUGUGAUAUCGUCUACAUAUAUGGAAUAUACGCAUUCCUUUCGCUCUUCAAAAUUUCUGUAAGGAAGUAAUAUAUGCACAUCGCAACAAAAUUCAACCAGCACCAAUAGUUUUUUAAGUCUCUUUCUCACUCAAAUUUCCCCAGAAUCUUCCUUCUUAAAGGCCUAAGAUUAUCAGUUUCUUGUGUGUUCUUCCCUAAAUAUUCUGUAUAUAA